GGGGAAACUAACCCUCUAUUUCAGAAUCAAUGUUGUCAUCCAAUGGAAUCCUUUCCUAUUUGCUGGUCGGAUUGAGUUUCGAGGGGCUCCAUCGCGGAUGGCUACAAGGAUCCAUGUCGCCUUUGUUUGGAGGCCCAUUCUUCUAAAUGAUUAGAACACAGUGCAACCUGCUGCAUGAGGAUGUUUGUUCCAAGGACUUCAACAGAACAUUUUUGGCUUUUUUUCUUUUUCACAAUGUUUUCCUGCAAAGAAAUGAAUGAAAAAUAGCUGAAUGUG